AAGGUGCCCAUAGGGUGGUUAUAGCGUACACAAGGUACCCCAUAGGCUACCCCAUAGGGUGCCCCACAGGGUGCCCCAUAGGAUAUCCCAUAGGAUACCAUAAAUACCCCAUAGGAUACCCCAUAGGAUACCCCAUAGGAUACCACAUAGGAUACUCCAUAGGGCGGCUAUAGGGUACCCCAUAGGAUACCCCAUAAGGCGGCUAUAGGAUACCCCAUAGGGUGGCUAUAG
rnacentral:lncRNA from 1 species